rnacentral:misc_RNA from 1 species
GAAGUGCGAUAAGCAGUGCGAAUUGCAGAACCGUGAGUCAUCAGAUCUUUGAACGCAAAUGGCGCUAGUUGGUUACCCAGCUAGCAUGCUUGUUUCAGUGUCUUGUUUUCUCUUCACCCACAUCUUAAUGUGAGAGAUGACCUUCUCUUACUAAGUAUGAAAGUACACUGUACUUUGCAGGCAACUUUCGGGUUGCACUCAAUGCAGCGGUCACAUUUCGAUGUGAACUCGUUGAGAGUAAAGACAGAAAGUGGUUUAAUUACUACUGUCAGUACUUAGAGUCACAAAACUUUACUUGUAUCUGAAAUCAAGCAGGAUCACCCGCUGAACUUAA